rnacentral:rRNA from 1 species
AUUGAACGCUAGCGGCAGGCCUCACACAUGCAAGUCGAGCGGAGCGGCGGACGGGUGAGUAAUGCCUAGGAAUCUGCCUGGUAGUGGGGGAUAACGUCCGGAAACGGGCGCUAAUACCGCAUACUAUCAGAUGAGCCAAGGUCGGAUUAGCUAGUUGGGGGGGUAAAGGAAUACCAAGGCGACGAUCCGUAACUGGUUUGAGAGGAUGAUCAGCCACACUGGGACUGAGACACGGUCCAGACUCCGACGGGAGGCAGCAGUGGGGAAUAUUGGACAAUGGGCGAAAUCAUUAUCCAGCCAUGCCGCGUGUGUGAAGAAGGUCUUCGGAUUGUAAAGCACUUUAAGUUGGGAGGCGUUACCAACAGAAUAAGCACCGGCUAACUUCGUGCCAGCAGCCGCGGUAAUUC